AGAGUUUGAUCCUGGCUCAGAUUGAACGCUGGCGGCAUGCUUUACACAUGCAAGUCGGACGGCAGCACAGAGAAGCUUGCUUCUCGGGUGGCGAGUGGCGAACGGGUGAGUAACAUAUCGGAACGUACCGAGUAGUGGGGGAUAACUGAUCGAAAGAUCAGCUAAUACCGCAUACGUCUUGAGAGAGAAAGCAGGGGACCUUUGGGCCUUGCGCUAUUCGAGCGGCCGAUAUCUGAUUAGCUAGUUGGUGGGGUAAAGGCCUACCAAGGCGACGAUCAGUAGCGGGUCUGAGAGGAUGAUCCGCCACACUGGGACUGAGACACGGCCCAGACUCCUACGGGAGGCAGCAGUGGGGAAUUUUGGACAAUGGGCGCAAGCCUGAUCCAGCCAUGCCGCGUGUCUGAAGAAGGCCUUCGGGUUGUAAAGGACUUUUGUCAGGGAAGAAAAGGCUGUUGCUAAUAUCAGCGGCUGAUGACGGUACCUGAAGAAUAAGCACCGGCUAACUACGUGCCAGCAGCCGCGGUAAUACGUAGGGUGCGAGCGUUAAUCGGAAUUACUGGGCGUAAAGCGGGCGCAGACGGUUACUUAAGCAGGAUGUGAAAUCCCCGGGCUCAACCCGGGAACUGCGUUCUGAACUGGGUGACUCGAGUGUGUCAGAGGGAGGUAGAAUUCCACGUGUAGCAGUGAAAUGCGUAGAGAUGUGGAGGAAUACCGAUGGCGAAGGCAGCCUCCUGGGACAACACUGACGUUCAUGCCCGAAAGCGUGGGUAGCAAACAGGAUUAGAUACCCUGGUAGUCCACGCCCUAAACGAUGUCAAUUAGCUGUUGGGCAACUUGAUUGCUUAGUAGCGUAGCUAACGCGUGAAAUUGACCGCCUGGGGAGUACGGUCGCAAGAUUAAAACUCAAAGGAAUUGACGGGGACCCGCACAAGCGGUGGAUGAUGUGGAUUAAUUCGAUGCAACGCGAAGAACCUUACCUGGUCUUGACAUGUACGGAAUCCUCCAGAGACGGAGGAGUGCCUUCGGGAGCCGUAACACAGGUGCUGCAUGGCUGUCGUCAGCUCGUGUCGUGAGAUGUUGGGUUAAGUCCCGCAACGAGCGCAACCCUUGUCAUUAGUUGCCAUCAUUCAGUUGGGCACUCUAAUGAGACUGCCGGUGACAAGCCGGAGGAAGGUGGGGAUGACGUCAAGUCCUCAUGGCCCUUAUGACCAGGGCUUCACACGUCAUACAAUGGUCGGUACAGAGGGUAGCCAAGCCGCGAGGCGGAGCCAAUCUCACAAAACCGAUCGUAGUCCGGAUUGCACUCUGCAACUCGAGUGCAUGAAGUCGGAAUCGCUAGUAAUCGCAGGUCAGCAUACUGCGGUGAAUACGUUCCCGGGUCUUGUACACACCGCCCGUCACACCAUGGGAGUGGGGGAUACCAGAAGUAGGUAGGGUAACCGCAAGGAGCCCGCUUACCACGGUAUGCUUCAUGACUGGGGUGAAGUCGUAACAAGGUAGCCGUAGGGGAACCUGCGGCUGGAUCACCU
rnacentral:rRNA from 1 species